UGAGGAAUUUUGCGCAAUGGGAGCAAUCCUGACGCAGCAACGCCGCGUGGGUGAUGAAGGCCUUCGGGUCGUAAAGCCCUGUCAGGUGGGAAGAAUGUCCCGGAACUGAACAGGUUUCGGGAGUGACGGUACCACCAGAGGAAGCACCGGCUAACUCCGUGCCAGCAGCCGCGGUAAUACGGAGGGUGCAAGCGUUAUUCGGAAUUACUGGGCGUAAAGAGCGUGUAGGCGGUUGAAAAAGUCAGGUGUGAAAUUCUUCGGCUCAACCGAGGGACUGCGCCUGAAACUUUUCGACUGGAGUUCGGGAGGGGCAACUGGAAUUCCUGGUGUAACGGUGAAAUGUGUAGAUAUCAGGAGGAACACCCGUGGCGAAGGCGGGUUGCUGGACCGAAACUGACGCUGAGACGCGAAAGCGUGGGGAGCAAACA
rnacentral:rRNA from 1 species